GUGCCAGCCGCCGCGGUAAUACGUAGGAGGCGAGCGUUGUCCGGAGUUACUGGGCGUAAAGGGUGCGUAGGCGGCCGCGCGCGUGGCGGGUGAAAUCUCUCGGCUUACCCGGGAGGGUGCUUGCCAGACGGCGUGGCUUGAGGGACGGAGAGGGGCGUGGAAUUCCGGGUGGAGCGGUGAAAUGCGUAGAGAUCCGGAGGAACACCGACGGCGUAGGCAGCGCCCUGGCCGUUUCCUGACGCUGAUGCACGAAAGCUGGGGGAGCAAACAGGAUUAGAUACCCGCGUAGUCC
rnacentral:rRNA from 1 species